rnacentral:rRNA from 1 species
AACGAACGCUGGCGGCAUGCCUAACACAUGCAAGUCGAACGAGACCUUCGGGUCUAGUGGCGCACGGGUGCGUAACGCGUGGGAACCUGCCCUUAGGUUCGGAAUAACUCCCCGAAAGGGGUGCUAAUACCGGAUAAUGUCUUCGGACCAAAGAUUUAUCGCCUUUGGAUGGGCCCGCGUUGGAUUAGCUAGUUGGUAGGGUAAAAGCCUACCAAGGCGACGAUCCAUAGCUGGUCUGAGAGGAUGAUCAGCCACACUGGGACUGAGACACGGCCCAGACUCCUACGGGAAGCAGCAGUGGGGAAUAUUGGACAAUGGGCGAAAGCCUGAUGCAGCGAUGCCGCGUGAGUGAUGAAGGCCUUAGGGUUGUAAAGCUCUUUUAUCCGGGAUGAUAAUGACAGUACCGGGAGAAUAAGCUCCGGCUAACUCCGUG